AACAAUCACUCCUGAAACAUCAGAAUUCUCAUUACUUAGUACUAAAAGAUAUUCAAGAAAUAUUGUUGCAGUGGAUAGCUAGUCAAGUAUGAGCAGGGCAGGAGAGGGCUCCCCUCCUCCACACACCAAAUGUGCUGGGAGCCCCUCAGGUGAUGGUCAAGUGGUUGUUAACUGUUUCUCUAAAGUAGUAAUUGGUCACAGCCGGUGGCAGGGAAAGGCAAUCUUCUAAUGGAAAACACCUGAAACUGACCAGCAGCUUCCCAGUAAGAUCUUAGGAGUGAGGAGAAGGCAAGAUCCCAGAAGUAUGCCAAAGUAUUAAACCCCAAGUCAAGAGGUCAAGCUGUGUACUUGGCUUCUCAAGUCUCCCGCUUGGCCCUCUUCCAGGUUGUACUUCCCUUUGUUUCCUUUCCGUUCUAAAACUUUUUAAUAAGCCUUCACUCCUGUUCUGAGACGUGACUCGGUCUCUCUUUCUGCCUUAUGCCCCUUAGUGGAAUUCCUUAUGAGAAGGCAAGAAUGGAGGGUGCUGCAAACCUAUACAGAUUAACCGCCAAUGUCUCCGGAACUCGGAUCUCUUCCACAGGUCUCCAGUACAACAUUGAAAAGAAGUGGUGAGAGAGCUAACAUCCUUGCCUUGUUCCUGAGUUUAUAAAGAGUUUCUAGAUGCAAACACACACACACACAAAAGUGUGCUUCCAGAAGAUGCUGCUGGGAAGGCCACUGCAUCCCUAGGGAGCCAAAUCAAAGCAUUUUGUCCUAAUGUGUCCGGAAUUGGUGGGUUCUUGGUCUCACUGACUUCAAGAAUGAAGCCGUGGACCCUCGCGGAAAGAUAGAAUAGAAGCUACAAGAUCUGCAGUUAUGCUUCCUCUUACCCAAUUUACAGAUAAUAUAUGUUUGUGGCUGUGAUACACAGAAAAAUGGCAUCCAAGGAAAGUCCACCUCCUAAUCCUCAGAAGCUGUGAAUAUGUUACUUUAUAUGGCAAAAUGGACUCUGCAGAUGAGAUUAAGUUUCUGCCUGCCUGACAAUCACUCUGCUGAUGGCAACCAAAUAUUGUCUUCUUCCUGGAGUCUCAGGGAAAAUGUGGCCUGGGGCAGACCCUAGUUCUUCAGAUGGAAGGUGAAACUUCAAUACAUCACCGCAACAGGAAACAAUCUCAAGAAUUUGUAUUUACACAUCCUGGACAAAGAAAGUGUAAAUAAGUCUGGAAUGCAGUCAUCAGUUCCCAGGUCCUGGAAGGCAGGAGUCUGGAGUCAGGCAGAAAGAGAAAGCAGGCACAGUGACAACCAGCAGUACACUUAAGGAUUAGAGUGCAGAUUUUUCUAAGCUCCCAGGCCAAUGCCUGAAUACCUUUAAAGAAAGCAAUAGGAAAACAGAAGCCCAGUCUGCUAGGUGGAAAAGAUGCUUUUAUGAUCCUGCCUCUGGCCCCGGGCUUGAGCCAUUGGGGUAGAACUGGAAACUGUGUCAAGGGUGACUGAUUCCUGCUUCUAGUAUGAAAAAAUUAAACUUGCAUUUGAAACGGAUGCUGAAGCAACAUAAAAUUUUAAGAAUUCACUCAAUGUUAUAUUAGUCAAAACUCAAGAGGAAUAAUAACAAGGUGACUUUAGAGAAAAAUAAGGACAGAACAAUAAUUCUAAUUGGAGAGAAGGAAGAGGAGAGAAGGAGCCAAGUCUAUCUGCCCUCAUGUAGCUCCUCACAGAGCAAAGAACCAGAAAGACCGCCUGAAUUCUCUACUCUCAAAGGGAAGUAGAGUGUUCAAUUUAGACUUUGCUUCUAUCAGCUUUGUAUUAGCCUGUUCUCAUGCUUCUAAUAAAGGCAUACCUGAGACUGAGUAAUUUAUAAAGGAAAGAAGUUUAAUUGACUCACAGUUCCACAUGGCUGGGGAAGCCUCACAAUCAUGGUGGAAGAGCAAGGGACGUCUUACAUGGCAGCAAAAAAGAGAGAAUGAGAGCCAAGUGAAAGUGGAAACCCCUUAUAAAACCAUCAGAUCUUGUGAGACUUAUUCACUACCACGAGAACAGUAUGGGGGAAACCACCCCAUGAUUCAGUUAUCUCCACCUAGGUCUCUUCCACAACAUGUGGAAAUUAUGAGAGCUACAAUUCAAGAUGAGAUUUGGGUGAGAACACAGCCAAAUAAUAUCAAGCUUUCAUGAUUACAGUUUUACUGUGAAUUUCAUUGAUGCAGUUGUCUUUUCUGUCUCAAACUAAUUUAGCAAUUUCAAUUUAUAUUUAAGAUACUGUGGGCAAAAUAAGACCAACAAAACCUAAAUAAAUGAAUUAAAGGCAA
rnacentral:lncRNA from 10 species